rnacentral:rRNA from 1 species
CUGCCUGUAAGACUGGGAUAACUCCGGGAAACCGGGGCUAAUACCGGAUGGUUGUUUGAACCGCAUGGUUCAGACAUAAAAGGUGGCUUCGGCUACCACUUACAGAUGGACCCGCGGCGCAUUAGCUAGUUGGUGAGGUAACGGCUCACCAAGGCGACGAUGCGUAGCCGACCUGAGAGGGUGAUCGGCCACACUGGGACUGAGACACGGCCCAGACUCCUACGGGAGGCAGCAGUAGGGAAUCUUCCGCAAUGGACGAAAGUCUGACGGAGCAACGCCGCGUGAGUGAUGAAGGUUUUCGGAUCGUAAAGCUCUGUUGUUAGGGAAGAACAAGUGCCGUUCAAAUAGGGCGGCACCUUGACGGAACCUAACCAGAAAGCCACGGCUAACUACGUGCCAGCAGCCGCGGUAAUACGUAGGUGGCAAGCGUUGUCCGGAAUUAUUGGGCGUAAAGGGCUCGCAGGCGGUUUCUUAAGUCUGAUGUGAAAGCCCCCGGCUCAACCGGGGAGGGUCAUUGGAAACUGGGGAACUUGAGUGCAGAAGAGGAGAGUGGAAUUCCACGUGUAGCGGUGAAAUGCGUAGAGAUGUGGAGGAACACCAGUGGCGAAGGCGACUCUCUGGUCUGUAACUGACGCUGAGGAGCGAAAGCGUGGGGAGCGAACAGGAUUAGAUACCCUGGUAGUCCACGCCGUAAACGAUGAGUGCUAAGUGUUAGGGGGUUUCCGCCCCUUAGUGCUGCAGCUAACGCAUUAAGCACUCCGCCUGGGGAGUACGGUCGCAAGACUGAAACUCAAAGGAAUUGACGGGGGCCCGCACAAGCGGUGGAGCAUGUGGUUUAAUUCGAAGCAACGCGAAGAACCUUACCAGGUCUUGACAUCCUCUGACAAUCCUAGAGAUAGGACGUCCCCUUCGGGGGCAGAGUGACAGGUGGUGCAUGGUUGUCGUCAGCUCGUGUCGUGAGAUGUUGGGUUAAGUCCCGCAACGAGCGCAACCCUUGAUCUUAGUUGCCAGCAUUCAGUUGGGCACUCUAAGGUGACUGCCGGUGACAAACCGGAGGAAGGUGGGGAUGACGUCAAAUCAUCAUGCCCCUUAUGACCUGGGCUACACACGUGCUACAAUGGACAGAACAAAGGGCAGCGAAACCGCGAGGUUAAGCCAAUCCCACAAAUCUGUU